rnacentral:rRNA from 1 species
AGGUAAGCUACUAAGAGCGAAUGGUGGAUGCCUUGACUGGUAAAGGCGAUGAAGGACGUACUAGACUGCGAUAAGCUACGGGGAGCUGUCAAGAAGCUUUGAUCCGUAGAUUUCCGAAUGGGGCAACCCAAUGUAUAGAGAUAUACAUUACCUAUAUAGGAGCGAACGAGGGGAAUUGAAACAUCUUAGUACCCUCAGGAAAAGAAAUCAAUAGAGAUUGCGUCAGUAGCGGCGAGCGAAAGCGCAAGAGGGCAAACCCAGUGCUUGCACUGGGGGUUGUAGGACUGCAAUGUGCAAGAGCUGAGUUUAGCAGAACAUUCUGGAAAGUAUAGCCAUAGAGGGUGAUAGUCCCGUAUGCGAAAAACAAAGCUUAGCUAGCAGUAUCCUGAGUAGGGCGGGACACGAGGAAUCCUGUCUGAAUCCGGGUCGACCACGAUCCAACCCUAAAUACUAAUACCAGAUCGAUAGUGCACAAGUACCGUGAGGGAAAGGUGAAAAGAACUGAGGUGAUCAGAGUGAAAUAGAACCUGAAACCAUUUGCUUACAAUCAUUCAGAGCACUAUGUAGCAAUACAGUGUGAUGGACUGCCUUUUGCAUAAUGAGCCUGCGAGUUGUGGUGUCUGGCAAGGUUAAGCAAACGCGAAGCCGUAGCGAAAGCGAGUCUGAAUAGGGCGCUUAGUCAGAUGCUGCAGACCCGAAACGAAGUGAUCUAUCCAUGAGCAAGUUGAAGCUAGUGUAAGAACUAGUGGAGGACUGAACCCAUAGGCGUUGAAAAGCCCCGGGAUGACUUGUGGAUAGGGGUGAAAGGCCAAUCAAACUUCGUGAUAGCUGGUUCUCUCCGAAAUAUAUUUAGGUAUAGCGUUGUGUCGUAAUAUAAGGGGGUAGAGCACUGAAUGGGCUAGGGCAUACACCAAUGUACCAAACCCUAUCAAACUCCGAAUACCUUAUAUGUAAUCACAGCAGUCAGGCGGCGAGUGAUAAAAUCCGUCGUCAAGAGGGAAACAACCCAGACUACCAGCUAAGGUCCCUAAAUCUUACUUAAGUGGAAAACGAUGUGAAGUUACUUAAACAACCAGGAGGUUGGCUUAGAAGCAGCCAUCCUUUAAAGAAAGCGUAAUAGCUCACUGGUCUAGUGAUUUUGCGCGGAAAAUAUAACGGGGCUAAAGUAAGUACCGAAGCUGUAGACUUGCACACAACUUAGAUUAUUUAAGUUUAGAAUAUGAGAAACUAAGUUAUAUGUUUAGUUAUAUUUUUACUGAUUUUUAUAGAGUAAAGAUAGAAAUAAAACUUAGUAAAAUCAGUAAAAAUAUUCUUAGGCUAAAGUUAAGUAGUUUAAGUUGUGUGCAAGUGGUAGGAGAGCGUUCUAUUUGCGUCGAAGGUAUACCGGUAAGGAGUGCUGGAGCGAAUAGAAGUGAGCAUGCAGGCAUGAGUAGCGAUAAUUAAUGUGAGAAUCAUUAACGCCGUAAACCCAAGGUUUCCUACGCGAUGCUCGUCAUCGUAGGGUUAGUCGGGUCCUAAGUCGAGUCCGAAAGGGGUAGACGAUGGCAAAUUGGUUAAUAUUCCAAUACCAACAUUAGUGUGCGAUGGAAGGACGCUUAGGGCUAAGGGGGCUAGCGGAUGGAAGUGCUAGUCUAAGGUUGUAGGAGGUUAUACAGGCAAAUCCGUAUAACAAUACUCCGAGAACUGAAAGGCUUUUUGAAGUCUUCGGAUGGAAAGAAGAACCCCUGAUGCCGUCGAGCCAAGAAAAGUUUCUAAGUUUAGCUAAUGUUGCCCGUACCGUAAACCGACACAGGUGGGUGGGAUGAGUAUUCUAAGGCGCGUGGAAGAACUCUCUUUAAGGAACUCUGCAAAAUAGCACCGUAUCUUCGGUAUAAGGUGUGCCUCCCUUUGUAUUAGGAUUUACUCCGAAAGCAAAGAAGGUUACAACAAAGAGUCCCUCCCGACUGUUUACCAAAAACACAGCACUCUGCUAACUCGUAAGAGGAUGUAUAGGGUGUGACGCCUGCCCGGUGCUCGAAGGUUAAUUGAUGGGGUUAGCAUUAGCGAAGCUCUUGAUCGAAGCCCGAGUAAACGGCGGCCGUAACUAUAACGGUCCUAAGGUAGCGAAAUUCCUUGUCGGUUAAAUACCGACCUGCAUGAAUGGCGUAACGAGAUGGGAGCUGUCUCAAAGAGGGAUCCAGUGAAAUUGUAGUGGAGGUGAAAAUUCCUCCUACCCGCGGCAAGACGGAGAGACCCCGUGGACCUUUACUACAGCUUGACACUGCUAUUUGGAUAAGAAUGUGCAGGAUAGGUGGGAGGCUUUGAGUAUAUGACGCCAGUUGUAUAUGAGCCAUUGUUGAGAUACCACUCUUUCUUAUUUGGGUAGCUAACCAGCUUGAGUUAUCCUCAAGUGGGACAAUGUCUGGUGGGUAGUUUGACUGGGGCGGUCGCCUCCCAAAUAAUAACGG